GCAAAUUCUAAAGUUUCCUGUAGAAGAAAGAAAAAUUCUGCUUCAAUAAUACAGCACUAACUGCUGCCCGAGUUUCCAGCCUGUAGGCCUCCCCUAGAGGCUACUUGCCAGUCUUCACAAUCCCAUCUACAGCUGUUCACUGGCAAAGGAGACCAACUCAUCUCUUUCCUGACAUCUGGCUCUUUCAUUUCACGUCUCUUUCAUACCCUCCCGCAACUAGCUGAAGGCAGUUCCUGCAGAUCCAUUUAUUAAAGAUAGAAUCUGGCUCACCUGGAUCCCUGAGGAAUCGCCACACUGACUUCUACAAUGGUUGAACUAGUUUACAGUCCCA
rnacentral:lncRNA from 1 species